rnacentral:rRNA from 1 species
GACGAACGCUGGCGGCGUGCUUAACACAUGCAAGUCGAACGGAAAGGCCCUGCUUUUGUGGGGUGCUCGAGUGGCGAACGGGUGAGUAACACGUGAGUAACCUGCCCUUGACUUUGGGAUAACUUCAGGAAACUGGGGCUAAUACCGGAUAGGAUCUCCUGCUGCAUGGUGGGGGUUGGAAAGUUUCGGCGGUUGGGGAUGGACUCGCGGCUUAUCAGCUUGUUGGUGGGGUAGUGGCUUACCAAGGCUUUGACGGGUAGCCGGCCUGAGAGGGUGACCGGCCACAUUGGGACUGAGAUACGGACCAGACUCCUACGGGAGGCAGCAGUGGGGAAUAUUGCACAAUGGGCGGACGCCUGAUGCAGCAACGCCGCGUGCGGGAUGACGGCCUUCGGGUUGUAAACCGCUUUCGCCUGUGACGAAGCGUGAGUGACGGUAAUGGGUAAAGAAGCACCGGCUAACUACGUG